rnacentral:rRNA from 1 species
GACGAACGCUGGCGGCGUGCCUAAUACAUGCCAGUUGAGCGAUGAAGAUUGGUGCUUGCCCCAAUUUGAAGAGCAGCGAACGGGUGAGUAACGCGUGGGGAAUCUGCCUUUGAGCGGGGGACAACAUUUGGAAACGAAUGCUAAUACCGCAUAAUAACUUUAAACAUAAGUUUUAAGUUUGAAAGAUGCAAUUGCAUCACUCAAAGAUGAUCCCGCGUUGUAUUAGCUAGUUGGUGAGGUAAAGGCUCACCAAGGCGAUGAUACAUAGCCGACCUGAGAGGGUGAUCGGCCACAUUGGGACUGAGACACGGCCCAAACUCCUACGGGAGGCAGCAGUAGGGAAUCUUCGGCAAUGGACGAAAGUCUGACCGAGCAACGCCGCGUGAGUGAAGAAGGUUUUCGGAUCGUAAAACUCUGUUGGUAGAGAAGAACGUUGGUGAGAGUGGAAAGCUCAUCAAGUGACGGUAACUACCCAGAAAGGGACGGCUAACUACGUG